CAAAAACUAGGGACCUGAGUAGGCGCCCAGGAACACCCUCUCUACCCCGGGCUCACUGCACCCCCAGGGCCACCUGGGGGAAAGCAGCGCCACCUGGGGAGGUCCCCUGGGCUGCCAGCACGGGGAGCCCAGCUUAGGCCAGGGCUCGGCUCUGCGCAAAGAGGCCAAGCGGCAGGACAGCGCCGCGGGUCCCUGCCUGGCCAGCAUGCCAGUGGUGUGGGGGGUCCUGAGCCAGGGGACCCGGAGGUGGGGUGAAGAGGCAGGGCGUGGCCGGGAAUCCUGGGAAGGGGGUUCUGACACCAGGCGGCCCCUGUCCUGUCUGCUCGGCCUCAGAUGCCCAGGGUCCUUUAAAGACUGAUUUAUUCGAUAGAGAGGGGGGGGAGAGGGCCCGCAGGGGGAGGGACAAAGGAAGGGAGAGCGAGAAUCUCAAGCAGACCCCCCACCAAGCACGGAGACGACAGACAGAUGAACAUGGGGCUCCAUCCCCCCACCCAGGAGGCCGUGACCCGAGCCCAACUUGCAAGUCGGAUGCUUCACAGACUGAGCCACCCGGGCGCCCUGACACAGGCCCUUUAAAUUUAUACCCGAAAGUGGAGCCCCAGCAUCCCGAGCUUCUGAGGCAGCCGCCAGCCCAGCUCCAAGGCCCCCUGGGCCGAGCACCACACUGCCACACAGUGCGCCCACAGCCUGCACCGGCCACCCCAGGGGAGGCCGCCUUCCCCAGGCCCCACAAGCUUCCUGCCCUCCUCCAGGACUGUCUCUCCCCUCCUGCCUCUCUCCCCAUUCCUCCCACAUUCAGGGCCUGGAGCGGGAGCCGGACCUUCACAGUGGAGCCCAGGUGGAGGCUGAGAGCCUGCGGGUCCCAAGCGGCGGCAGCGGGAGGUGCUCUGGAGAAGGACGAGGCCUCUCAGGCAGCAGCGCGGGACACCCGCCUGGCAGGCCCCGGGGAAGGGAUGUCAGUGGCAGCAUCUAUGCCCCGUGGGGAUGGCAGCAGCAGCAAAGGCGGGAACGCGGACAGCGAUGCAGACGCUCCGGGCGGAUAUAAAGGUAGAGGGGGGAGGGUGUGUGUGUGUGUGCGUGCGUGUGUGUGUCUGUGUGUUUUCCUUAAUUGAAAAAAAAUGUCGCUUGUGACUCCUGACUUAGAGCAAGAACAAGACGGCCUCUUGAGCCUGGUGGACGCGUUGGGUGGAGGGUGGGGCGGGGGCUGGCGGAGGGUCCAUCCCCUCAGGCAGGUGAGCUGUUCUUCCUCAGUUAAAAACAACCCAGAAAACAAGACAAUUACCAGGUAAGAAAAGUUUCUGAAAAAGGAACCACCGUACACGCGUGGGAUACGACAGUGUCAGGGAACAGUAUUUACAGGGGCUGUUUACACGGGGCUAGUUCGGCACGGAAAGCAGGGUAUUACGUGAGUUAGCUGCUCCAAGUAUGAAUGUUAUUGCUGUUGUUUUUCCCUUCGUUAAAAAUCCUCUUUCAGCGUAGAAAUAAUAAGUAAUUAAACUGAAUACACAAUCAUCUGAGUAAUGGAUAUUACACACAGGGAGAGUCAACAGCCGACGAGAAAGUUCCUCUCCUCCCUUCCGCAGAGACGGCACUGCAGCUGCACGAACCAAAGCCAGGUCUCGGGCCCCUUGGCCUCGGCCCCCCGAGGAUGGAAGCGGCCAGGACAAGCCGAAGCCCCCUGGCUUCACCCAGGGAGCUGCCCAGGAGGGCUGGAGCUGCUGGUGACCGGGGCGCUGGGGACGGCGGGUCCCAGCCACCCCAGCUCUGGCCGCAGGCCCCUCGGGCGGAGGCGGGGGAGGGGAGCCCAGGUGGCCGCAGAGGGUCCGGCUCCUCCCGACCUUCUGGGACAAAGCUGGCGAGUGGAGGCGUGGACCCAGCGGUCGAGACAGUGACCAGAGGUGGGCAGGGCGAGGGGAGGUGGGGCCCCUGCACAGAACUUAGAGAAGCUCACCGCCCUCUGGAGCCCAAAACCGAAAAGUGACCGGGUGGCCCCAGGAGACGGAUCCCAGGGGCCCUCUGCCCUCCCACAACUUUCGCAUUGGCCACAGGGCAUGGCACAGCCACCCAGAAGCACAGGGGUACACUUAAAGCUCUGCUCCGACGAAACCAUUUAGUUUCCCUUGAAGAAGUGACUGAGAAAACACAACUCUGGAAAAACAAGGCUGAGUGUUGUGUAGCACGACCGGCCCUCCAGGACGCGGUAAUAAUGCCCAUCGAUGGGGACACAUACGGCAGAGUUAACAUUCCAUGCAUACAGAUUUCAUAACUGCAAAAGAAAAACAAAAGCAAAAAAAAAAAACCAAACGAACGCUGCGUAUCUAUGGUGUCCCUUUUGCAUUGCACUGUAGGGGGUCCAGCAGCACCUGCGCCCCUCCCCCCAGUAAACCACGGGCGAGAACCCUGCAGAUGACAUGGUCACCAAGCCUCUGCUGGUUGCGGCGGCGGGCGGCGCCUGUCCCUGGGCCAGCGGUCUCCACUUCCGUCUGCGCUCACAGCUGCCUCGGCGUUAGAACAGGGUCAAGCGAAGAAUUCUGGUAAGAUCUUUCUCAUGUACAUAAAUACCGUAAUCUCAGGAUGGGUAGCCGCCUCUCGUCUACUGGGAAAUCAUUUUUCAAGCUUGGGCAUAAAAAACCUUAUACAAUUUGCAUGAACAGUUGAGAGUAAACGAGAUUAUUUGGAAUAAAUGCAAGUAACUUAUUCUGAUAGUGGCA
rnacentral:lncRNA from 1 species